AUGAAUAUCACGAUGCUCGUCGUGUUGAGGCCGUCGGCCGGAGGCGCCGGGGGAUCCUCCUCCAGCGGCGGGUAGGGCUCCGAGGCGCUCGUGCUGGCCAACGCCACGGACGUCAGCCACUUCGGCUUCUUCCGGCGCGGCGCCGCACGCGAGUUCAUCGUCUUCGUCGCCCGCACCGUCGCCCAGCGCACCCAGCCAGGCCAGCGCUAGUCCGUCCAGCACGAAGGUAACCACCCAUCUCAGAUCUGCUUGCCGCUACCUGGUUUAGUUUACUUUGUGAUACUAGAGCAAGGGCGACAUGGGUGA
rnacentral:rRNA from 1 species